GUCCUCUGUGAUCAUGGUGGCUUUCCUGGUCACAGAGCGUCUGUACAGUUCAGACAGAGGUGUUUGGGAUGACUUGAUUAUUUUACUGGCCUGAUUGAUUACACAUUGAUCACAGUGAU